rnacentral:rRNA from 1 species
UACGUAGGGGGCAAGCGUUGUCCGGAUUUAUUGGACGUAAAGAGCGUGUAGGCGGCUUGGUAGGUCCGCUGUGAAAACUCGAGGCUCAACCUCGAGAUGUCGGCGGAAACCACUUGGCUAGAGUCCGGAAGAGGAGAGUGGAAUUCCUGGUGUAGCGGUGAAAUGCGCAGAUAUCAGGAAGAACACCUAUGGCGAAGGCAGCUCUCUGGGACGGUACUGACGCUGAGACGCGAAAGCGUGGGGAGCGAACAGG